UAUAUCAUGGUUCAAUUGUGUACUUCAUCAAGCAACACUUCAGUUACAAAGACGAAACAGAAGACAAAUAAGGGAAUUUCAGAUAAUACGAGAUAUUGAUAUGGUGAUGGCAGAUACGACACUCGAGAUUAUAUCAAUGAUCUGCAAUUGUACAUGAGCUGGAUCUGCUGAACAGGUUUAGCAAAUGUGUUGAGUUGAGUUCAUAAACUUGCGAUGGGCAUGUGAUAGAAUGUUGCACUCGAGGAGUAGACCAAUUUCUUCGAGUCCUUGAGCUGAAAAUCAGUUGCAACUACAGUUGUGCUCCUUCCACUCUUAAUAAUAGACCCAUCUACGAUCACCUCUGCAUUGCUUUUAGCAGUAGAAAGAUACGACAUUCUCAAUUCUCCAAGAAAGAGCUUCUUAUCCUUUCCUACAACAGUUCUAGCACAGGCAAUUGACACCGUCUCUGCGACAGCUCCAACUGCUCCUCCAUGCAUGCUACCAUAAAUAUUCGAGAUUGCAGAUUUGACAGAUAAAAUGCAGGAGACUUUGCCAGGAUGGAUGCUGUGGACCUUGAGACAGCCGCGAGUGAGUUCAGAGAAAGAUUCAUAUCCGGCCGGAAACUUGUCCCCGUGGAGUUGCACGCGGCUGAGGAGACGAUCCGCCAAGAAAGCGGCUUCCUCAGAUAAAUCUUCGGAGAUGAUUGUGUCUUUGGUGAAUGAACUCUUCGAUUUCG
rnacentral:misc_RNA from 1 species